rnacentral:rRNA from 1 species
GAUCAUGAUAACUAGUCGAAUCGACAGGCCUUGUGCCGGCGAUGGCUCAUUCAAAUUUCUUCCCUAUCAACUUUCGAUGUUCGGGUCUUGUCCAAACAUGGUGGCAACGGGUAACGGAAGGUUAGGGCUCGACCCCGGAGAAGGAGCCUGAGAAACGGCUACUACAUCCAAGGAAGGCAGCAGGCGCGCAAAUUACCCAAUCCCGACACGGGGAGGUAGUGACAAUAAAUACUGAUACAGGGCUCUUUUGGGUCUUGUAAUCGGAAUGAGUACAAUUUAAAUCCCUUAACGAGGAACAAUUGGAGGGCAAGUCUGGUGCCAGCAGCCGCGGUAAUUCCAGCUCCAAUAGCGUAUAUUAAAGUUGUUGUGGUUAAAAAGCUCGUAGUUGAACCUUGGGCCUGGCUGGCCGGUCCGCCUCACCGCGUGCACUGGUCCGGCCGGGCCUUUCCCUCUGCGGAACCCCAUGCCCUUCACUGGGUGUGGCGGGGAACCAGGACUUUUAC